rnacentral:tRNA from 1 species
CGAAAUAUAGCAUAUAUAAUGCAUUUCACUUACAUUGAAAAGAAAAUGAUACCAUUUGUUUCGA